UGGCUGCACCAGGCCUCGAGGGGAUGUGUCUGGGCUGUGUUGGUGUCACAGUAGGGACAGGGCAUGGGGUGGAGGGGAGCCCUCCGCAUCCUGGGAGGGGCUCUUGUAGGAGGAGGAAGCCGGGUAAGGGGACCCCAGGCAGUGACCUCACCUCUCUGGUCACAAAGCCCAAGUGAAGUCAGAACCCGGGUCACCAGGCACUCACAUUGUGGAGACAGCGGCCGACUGGGCUCAUUCGCUGGGACAUCUGUGCCUGACGAACAUGUUCUCCUGUUGUGUGCCCGUGUUCCGCGGUUGCUGGCUCAGGGGAGCCCCUGGCCGCGACGCUCCCCGACCCUGGAGACAGUGAGUCAGGUCGUGCACAGGACGCCUCAGGUCUCUAGCUCGCAGGGAGCCAAAGAAAUCAACGGAUGAAAUCGGGAGGCGACUGUCGGAAUCCCGAUUCACCUGCCCUACAGAGGUGUGCGUGUGCCCCGUCGCCCAGGAGGGCCACCCUGGACCCGGGGAGAGAGUGGCCGCACGGAGGUCUCCGGAAGCAGGGCCUGGAGAUGGCCUGGGAGGGCCCCCCUCACCGCCCGGGCCCUUCCACAGGGUCCUGGCUCAGCGGUCCUGGGCCCAGGACCCGGAGCCCCUGGAGCCCGAGCCCGAGGAGUCCGGGGCAGGAUCAGAAGCCGGUGCGGCUCCAGAGCCCGACCCAACAGCCUCGGGGGCCUCGGCGGCUCUGCAGGCAGGGGUGGUGUCUGGAGCGACUCCUGCAGGGGCCCGGGAGCCAGCAGGUGACCUGGGACGGGUGCAGGGACGGCAGGCACCUGAGCAGAGUCAGCUGGGUCCUGCUUCUGCUCCUGCUGCUUCCACUGUUCCUGCUCCUGCUCCCAACACCGUUCCUGCCACCGCUCUUCUCCCUGCCCCUGCCCCCGCCCCUGCCACCGCCCUUCUCCCUGUCCCUAGCACAGCCCUUCUCCCUGCCCCUGCCCCCGCCCCUGCCACCGCCCUUCUCCCUGCCCCUGCCACCGCCCUUGCUCCCACAUGGAUGCCAGCCACUGAUCAAGGGCCUGAGGGCCUACACGGGGUGUUUAUUUUAUUUCUAAUUGUUGUUCCAAUCCCCGACCCUGACACCCUACCACAAUGUCUCUUCCACUUCUCCCUUAUCCUUUCUCUCCUCUUCUUUUUAGCUGUGAUUUUAUUUCAUCACUGUUGGUUUAUAAUCCAUAUUAAUCUUCAAUAAAAUUUUUAUUUACUUUA